UACGUAGGGUGCAAGCGUUAAUCGGAAUUACUGGGCGUAAAGCGUGCGCAGGCGGUUAUGUAAGACAGAUGUGAAAUGCCCGGGCUUAACCUGGGAACUGCAUUUGUGACUGCAUGGCUAGAAUCUGGCAGAGGGGGGUAGAAUUCCACGUGUAGCAGUGAAAUGCGUAGAUAUGUGGAGGAACACCAGUGGCGAAAGCGGCUUCCUGGUCCAGCACCGACGUCAGGCA
rnacentral:rRNA from 1 species